rnacentral:rRNA from 1 species
UACGACGGGUGCAAACGUUGCUCGGAAUUAUUGGGCGUAAAGCGCACGUAGGCGGCUUUGCAAGUCGGAUGUGAAAUCCCUCGGCUUAACCAAGGAAGUGCAUCCGAAACUGCAGAGCUUGAGUACUUAAGAGGAUCGCGGAAUUCCCGGUGUAGAGGUGAAAUUCGUAGAUAUCGGGAGGAACACCAGUGGCGAAGGCGGCGAUCUGGGAAGAUACUGACGCUGAGGUGCGAAAGCGUGGGGAGCAAACAGG